rnacentral:rRNA from 1 species
CCUACGGGGGGCAGCAGUGGGGAAUAUUGGGCAAUGGAGGCAACUCUGACCCAGCAACGCCGCGUGAAUGAUGAAGGUCUUCGGAUUGUAAAGUUCUUUUCUAAGGGAAGAAGAAGGUGACGGUACCUUAGGAAUAAGCCUCGGCUAACUACGUGCCAGCAGCCGCGGUAAGACGUAGGAGGAAAGCGUUAUCCGGAAUGACUGGGCGUAAAGGGUGCGUAGGGGGUUUGACAAGUUAGUAGCGCAACUCCGGAGCUCAACUUCGGAACUACUACUAAAACUGUUGGACUUGAGUGCAGGAGGGGCAAUCGGAAUUCCUAGUGUAGCGGUGGAAUGCGUAGAUAUUAGGAGGAACACCAGUGGCGAAGGCGGCCUGCUGGACGACAACUGACGGUGAGGCGCGAAAGCGUGGGGAGCAAACAGGAUUAGAGACCCCGGUAGUC